CACACACACACACACACACACACUCCCGGCAUUUUAACCAAUCAGAUCGUCCAAAGCCCUGGCCUGCUUUAGAAAGGGCCAGGCCCCUUCAGUCCCAGGCCUACAGCAGCUGGGGCAAUUUCUGUCCACUCCCUCUGUAUGUGUGUGUGUCUAUUACACACACACACACACACACACACACACACACACACACACACACACACAGACGCACACAGAGACACCCAGUGGUAACAAAAUGUCUGUCAGAGUUAUGUCUGACUAUAAUUGCAGAAACAAUUAUAAAGAAAUAUGCUGUAUUUACAGAUCCAUCCUUCUUGUUGAUGAGACUCCUGAAUGUGUCUUUUUUUUUUUUUUUUAUGUUGAAAGUCAACAUAGUGAUAUGUUAACUUUCAGCAGAGUGCUGUUAAUCUGUUGCACGUUUUGUUGUUACCCUUGUUUGGACUGCCAAAGGACAAAGGAACAAAGCAGAAGUGUUGGAAUUUAUUUUUGAUACAAUUCCUCCACAAUACAAUCCGGACAUUUAAUUGUGUUCCCUCUAUUUUCCUGAGGACUGCUUCACAAACUAGCAACAGAUUACUGCUGGAUUUUCACAGCAGUUACUGCUUAAAGAUGGGGCAGUUCCCUUUGUUGGACAAAUCUGGAGAUUCGGGAUCACAACCUGUAAGUAUGCUUUAUGAGUUGUGAAUUUGUUGUGGAAAAACAAACUGCCUGAGACAAACAGCCCUUCCUCUCUCUACCAACACUAAUGUUACCUGCACACAGUGAACUACAUCAGCAGAAAGGGAGCAGGACAGGAGGACAGGAGGAAAGAGGACAAGAGGACAGCAGGACUGACAGUGACUGAUAAAAACUAAACUUCAAGUACAUCACAGCAGGGCCCUGGUGCCCAGAUUCCAGGAUUUAGGAUGCCAAACAGUCCCUCCACAAACAGUCUCAGUGGGCACACAGUCUGUGGCAUCUCAAAAGAUGGUAGUGAUCAGCACACAGCUGUACAGGGCUGCUGUGAGGGAGCAGCCCGAGAAGCAAAGGCUGUAGAUGACCUGAUAAGGCUCGUCUUCCCCAAAAUCCCCAUCCCAAAUGACCUGGCAUUCCAGUAUGAGGGACACUCAAAGGAGGAAUGGUUGUCUUACACGUCUCUUACUUCAGCCAAGGGGCAGCUGGAGGUCAACGCAGUGACCAGCCGGAUCAGGAAACUCCUGGCGUAUCCAACACAGGACAGGAUGGACGCCUGAAUGGAAAGAAUUAGACACUAUAAGCGUUGCAGAUAAAACACUGCUGUCUAUCUAUUGUAUAUUAUUUAGUACGUUUUUUGUAGUUUUUGGUUUUUUACAUUUGCUAAAAAUAAAGUUCUUUUGACAAAA